AGUGAACGCUGGCGGUAGGCCUAACACAUGCAAGUCGAACGGCAGCACAGUAAGAGCUUGCUCUUACGGGUGGCGAGUGGCGGACGGGUGAGGAAUACAUCGGAAUCUACUUUUUCGUGGGGGAUAACGUAGGGAAACUUACGCUAAUACCGCAUACGACCUACGGGUGAAAGCAGGGGAUCUUCGGACCUUGCGCGAUUGAAUGAGCCGAUGUCGGAUUAGCUAGUUGGCGGGGUAAAGGCCCACCAAGGCGACGAUCCGUAGCUGGUCUGAGAGGAUGAUCGGCCACACUGGAACUGAGACACGGUCCAGACUCCUACGGGAGGCAGCAGUGGGGAAUAUUGGACAAUGGGCGCAAGCCUGAUCCAGCCAUACCACGUGGGUGAAGAAGGCCUUCGGGUUGUAAAGCCCUUUUGUUGGGAAAGAAAAGCAGCAGGUUAAUACCCCGCUGUUCUGACGGUACCCAAAGAAUAAGCACCGGCUAACUUCGU
rnacentral:rRNA from 1 species